rnacentral:rRNA from 1 species
UACGUAGGUGGCUAGCGUUACUCGGAAUUACUAGGUGUAAAGGGCAGGUAGGUGGUCCAGUAAGUUGUGGGUGUAAGCCCCGAUAAAAUCGGGGACGUCUCACAAUACUGCUGGGCUUGAGUGUGGUAUGAGGAACCAGAAUUCCCGGUGUAGCGGUGAAAUGCGUAGAUAUCGGGAGGAAUACCGAUGGCGAAAGCGGGUUCCUGGGCCAUUACUGACACUGAUCUGCGAAAGCGUGGGGAGCA